AUCAAUGCCCCUUUCUCUUUGAAUUCUAGCAUAUCCAAUAAAGAUGCAAUCAAUACCUUUUCUCAUAAUGUCUUUCGUUUAGGAUUUUGGAGGCGACAAUGAUAGCUCGGGGUUUCUUUGAUUAAGGUAAACCCACUCUUAACCUUCAGUUCAUCUCGUCUUCCUCCCUUUAUCCUAGAUUCGGUUGGAUUUGAUUUUGUAACAAGAGCGAUGAUUCUCUCUUAGCAGUCGAAAAUCCGAGGGCGAUGAAGGCCAGAAUCCGUCGCUGGCCAUGGAUUUUCCUCCGAUCUACUCUCUCAGCAUUUGACUGAAGAAUACGGAUGGUGAGUCGCUCAACUCUCCCUAAUCUUAAUCAUCUCUCGCUCGAAUGCUUAGAGGUUGGAUGAUGAUAUUAGUAAUGAUGCUUACUAGCCUCUGUACAGCAGCCUCCACUGCCCUUAUGUGGGUCUCCCGAUUCACAGUCGUCACCCUCUUUCUCCUGGAACCCUCAUCUGCGAAUUUCAUAGUCGCCGUUCCAUCCCAAAUUCAAUACUAAAUCGAAGAUCCCAGCUCUUGAUUGCCUUCGCCUCUCGACUCCAUCACAGUUGCAUCGGGACGCGAUCAUGCAUAGAUCGAUUCCCUCAUUUUAAGGUAAGCUCGGUUUCCCCCUCUGCUUGCAAUGAUUCUAAUUUGAACUAUGAUCUUUCUAACGAUCCUCGCCUCUUCUUUCCCAGUUCAGUUCGAUGUGGAAAUUCCGCCGGUAUCUUGGAGGGUCAAAGGCUUUACCAGCGACGCCAUGUCAGGUCUGAACUUGUACUCUCGUCAGUUUUUUUUAUUUAGAUUAAUCUUCUCUUUGAAGGAUUUUACGGUUAUUUCCCCAGGUGUGUAAAGAACACAGCGGGUUUGCUGUUCUAGUUGAUCAAGCGAUGUGUGCGGUUCUCAGUGAUCCUGAAAAAGAACAAGGUAAUGUAUUCUACGCUCUUCCUCUCCUCUCGAUUCCUAUCCCGAUGUAUCUAUGUAUCUCUGUUAUGAAUCCCUUCCUACCUUCUAAUUUUUCAAUAGGCUAUUCGAAGUGAAGAAGGCUGGUUAUGGACCAGAGGGAGCACGAGGAAUGGAGGACAACAAAACUUGAUGUCUGAGGGCUCCAUGAAAGUGAGGAAGGGGGGUCGAGAUUUAACUAGGGGGCGAAACUAGAAGGGCGGCCAGACAAGGUCAACAACACAGAGGUAAUACUCAAAAUUAUAAGCUCGGAUAGACAUGUGAUCGAGUAUUGCUUGUCCUUCUCAGCAACAAAGACUCGUGUGUAUUUUAUCGAGAUAAAAUUGGUCUACUUAGUCUUGAUUGGAAUGUCGAUUUGGCUGUUCAGGACAGGAGCAACUAAAGUGUGUUUGCAUCCAUGUUUUUUUCAUGGAAUAAAUAUACUAUCCUAUCUCAUUAAAGAAUCUAUGAUUACCAUGAUUCAUGUAUGCAGGCUAGGACUCGUAAAACCAAUGUUAUUCAAUUGGGCAUUCAUGAGUUGGCAUUAACCCAUCAUAUGUAUUUGCCAAACAAUCUGAAUUGCAUGUUUUGAUAUGACCAUCGUGGUGAAGAGCGAAGCUGGACCAAGAGAAGAUGAAGGACCAGGAUCGAGAACCUAGAAUCAUCAUGAAAGACCAACACAAAAAGAAGAAACAUAGAAAAUAGUACACAAUAAUAGUCAAAGGGAGUCCACAAUUUCCAAACAAGCAUCCAAAAUAACAAACAUCCACAAACUGUCAUAAAACACAACACAACACAAGUCUAGUCACACAAAAGAAACACAAACAAACCAUCAAGUCUAAAAAAAAGAGAGAGAGACAAAGGAACAUCACUCGAACAAUGGUGGAGGUGGUGGUGGCUGCUAGGAUGGGAAAUGGGGAUAAUACCCAUAGUAGCUUACCUCCGCGCUCAGAUGGUGGUAAUACCAUUGAUGUCCAUCUCUCGAAUCUUGGAAGUGGUCUUGUGGUGGGGGAGAGUAGUCGGGAUAGUGUUGAGGAAGUAAGAGUACACGUUCUGAUAUUUGGCCAUGUGGCCAGUCUGCCAACCCUACUUCUGUUGGAUCCAGUGCAUCUCCAUCUAUACUAUCUGAAUCUACUCCCCAACCCUCUAGAAAUUGCUACUCGUCUCACCUCUAAAGGCAUCAAAGUCGCUUCAUAACCCACUCAUAUCCUGUCUGAUGUACCCCAACUGCUCAUCAUGUGACUUCCUGAACUACUUAUCUCUCUGUGCCUCAUACUGAGCUCUCUCAUCAGAACACUAUUGAUGGAUAGCAAGAUGCUCCAUGACAGCCUGCAGAUCGGACAAAUACCCGAGCUGAAGUUGCGGUGUCGAUCUCCUUAACAAGCAAGUCCUGAACUCCAUUCCUUAGUAAUUAAUCCGGGUAGAAGUCAUAAGGUGGAGUCUCGAAGAUGCCCAACACUCCAUAAUUACGGACUGACAAGCUAACAUACCCUCCUUUGUAUAGUACGACAUGCAUUGAGUAGCUCUUCAAUUGCUUGAAGAGAGUGAGAACCAAGUCUCCCAAAUGCAUAUCGAUCUUAUCCUAGCAAUAGAAGAUGUACAUGUCUCGGUUAGUGAGCGCACUUGGAGAGCUUGAAGACGAACGGUGCGAGAUACCGUGGCGAGCAAACAGAUGGAUGAGACGAAGCAUUGGCUUGUGGGUUCGCAGCGCCUUAAAGACCCCAACUACAAACUGAGGCGCGUCUUUGAUAAUGCUACACCAAAAACCCUGCACAUCAUAGAGGGGGAGUCCGGAAACCAUGGCAAGACAAGCCAGCUUACCAUUGUUCAGCUCCUCAUUUGAAUGGAACCUGAGCAUUACCCCAAACUCAUGUGGGAACACUGUGUACAGCCUCCCUCCCAAGCGGAAGGAGACCACCCUCUGAGAGGUGGAAGUGUAUCUCCCGAUGUCAAGUGUGUAGAAGAACUCACGAACCGCGCGAGGAUAUGAAUACUCCUUCACCAUCAUCGCCCUCCAAAUAUUCUUGGUCCUCUUGUAAUAGGAAUGAAAGGGGAACAAGCCUGCUAGUUAACUCCUCAAAAACUAAGUGCCCCUGUUUGGAAACAGAAAGGUGUUGGAGAGUCGCAUAGAGCUUCCAAGACAUAAAGCAUCAAUCGCGAGGUUUUACGGAUCGACGGGCUCAGUAGGAGCUUCAAACAUGUGGUACUGCUGAGGUGGAACUGCAGGUGAGGAAGUACCUUGAGUCGUUUGCCCUGAGGAAGAAGAAUUCUCAUUUCCACUAUGCCUCUUGUUACACUUGGUAGACUUACCUUUAGGAGACAUCCUGAAAAAUAGUCAGCAAAUGUAGACUGCAAAUUGGGAAACAGGAUUCGGGAUUUCCCGUUUCCGUUCCCGUAUUAUUGAAAAAAAACUCGGGAAUUCCCAUUCCCAUUACCAAACUCAAAAUUCGGGUUUGGUUGGGGAAUAAAAUUUCAUGUUCGGUUUUUUGGUUCGAUUCUGGGAUUCCCAAAAUCCCAAAGUUUCUUAUUAUUUUCUAUUAUCGACAAAAGAAAAAACAUCGUAUAAGAAAUGAUUGAUUCAUACGUUAGGGCAUAGCUCAUUUUCGCUUCAAGACUGAAAUUACGGUUCGUGAAACCGAGAGGCCGAGAGUCCCCAUGUCCCUCAAUGGUGAUUCCCGAUGAUUCCCUCGACGGUUCAACCCCUCCUCUCUAGGGUGGCGAUUCCCAGUCUAGACGUCGGAUUCUUCUUCUUUUGCUACGAUGAUUCCCAACGAUUCCCUCAUUGUUCUGGAAUCUGAUUUAAGGUGAGAACACAUCUCCAACCCACUAUGGGUUUUAUUGUGAGGUUUUGAUUGUUUCUUAUUUCUUUGCGUAACAGUGGUCAUCGUCGAUUUGUACAGGUGCGGCUGUUGAUUCUGCGAACACACCUCUACUACUUUCGUCGGUGAACAACAUUCAAUUGAGGUGUGAAUAAUGAUUGAUUUAUGCUCCACUUUGGUUUUUGAUUAACUCUACAAUAGCUUUCUAUCUGCUAUCUCAAUUGUAAAAUCCUGCCAAAAGACAUUACAUUACAAGGAUGGCUUGUAAAAUCUAAGAAUAUAUGCUAAUGGCUUCAGUUAAAAUCAGGGUGAGUAUUGAGCUUGCUUCACUACUGUCUAUUGAAUACUCAGAACUGAAUUUUGGUCUUUCUUCAUCCCACUUAACUAUCUCCCUCGCAUAUUUAAGAGAUGAGUUGAUAGUGUCAGAUGCUAUAGAUUAUAUUGAUCCUGGGCCUAGUCGAAUAUGAUAAAGAUGAAGAGGGUGAAAAUGAAUAUGUUGAUUCUGUAAGUAUUCUUAAAUUUAUUUAUAGUUAGUAGAAUGGAAUAGUGCUCGAUAUUGUGACUGUGACUGAAUUCUGGCUGUUUGUUUUUCAAUUCUAUUUCUUGGUAUUGCAAUGGUUUUGCAUCACUCAUUUAAGAUAUAUGAGACUGUUGCAGUUUAUAGUUUCAAAACACAUGCUACUCACUGUGUUUCAGUUAACAAUGGAACUCGGUAAGCUCAAAUUCGGUCUCAGUUUUAAAUUUUUAGCAUACUCAUAUUUCUUUUGGCCAUUUAAUUUAAAAAAUUCUCUCGAUGGUGUUUGAUGGAGCUCAUUUCUAGUAUUUUUGUUACAGAGUCUGGAUGGUAUUUGAUGGAGCUUAUUUCUAGAUUUUUUGUUGUAGAGUCUGGAUGGUGUGUAAUGGAGCUCAUGAGCUGUAGUAGUUUUAAUGGAGUGUGGGGUUUGUAGUUUCAAAUGUUGGGUAUUCAAAAUGUUGCGGUUUGAUUCAAUAAGUUAUUUUGUUUGUAUGAAUUGUCAUGGGCUGUAACCAUGUUGCGCUUUACAAUGAUUUAGGACUUGUCGCAAUGAAAUAAAAAUUUCGGGAAAAAAACUUAAUUUGGGACUCCAAAUCUUGAAUUUAAUUUCUUGAACAAAAUUUCGUAAAUUUGGGAUUCGGGAAUUUGGAAUUUCAAGACUUCAUAAAUUCAGGAACGGGGUCCCAUUCCCUUCCCGAUUUACAAGCCUAAGCAAAUGU
rnacentral:lncRNA from 1 species